UGGUGGAGUGAUUUGUCUGGUUAAUUCCGUUAACGAACGAGACCUCAGCCUACUAACUAGUUUAGUCAACUACGGUUGUCGUAGACUUCUUAGAGGGACUAUUGGUGACUAGCCAGUGGAAGUAUGAGGCAAUAACA
rnacentral:rRNA from 1 species